GUAAAAUAUAAAAUUAAUAAUUUCUGCUGCUAAGUGAAUAAAUGCAAAACCACUAGGAUUGGAUAUAGCAUAUUGGAAAAACAGAAUCAAGAAUAAACUGGUUUCCUGCAUAACCUUCAAAGUUUAAUUUCAAACAAAGAACAAUGAAGGCUAUGUGCAGAUCAAAGAUAUUUACAUUUAUUAUAUUAUACAUCGACAAAAGGGGCACCAUUCUUCUGUGUUGAGCAUCUCAUUGCCAAAGAAAAUGUUCUUUUGCUACAGCCAUAGCAUCAAGCAUGUUGCCUUUAGUUUCAUCUGCCACCCUAUCUCUUACCAAAUAGUAACAUCUUCUUAAAUUCUCAUUAUAUGUUAUGGUCUCUCUCUCAUGGAAUGUUGUAAUCUUCUGAGCACGAUCCGAUUAUAAAAACAUUUUGUCCGUAAGAACAAUCCAAAAGCAGCAAGAGCCCCCAGAAAUGUAGCCGAUGCCAUGAUCAGAAAAGAUAACAUGAAACAGUGAGUUCCAGUGCAUGUGAUCCCUUCCCCUGAUGCUUCCCUGUCAUAUAUAUAACCAACGACUCUUACAGAGAAUAUGUAGGAUCCAACAGGACUAGCAAUAGUGAUGGUAUUGAAUAUGGUGCCCAUAUGUCUUACCCCAAAUAUCUCUGAAGCAAUUGUGGGCAUCAGUGACCACUGAGAACCAUAACAAACACCCACCAAAACAGAACCAGCAUAGAGAGCACCAGGCAAACCAGAAGCAAUCACCAAGUGACCAAUGGUCAUGCCUGCAAGAGUGAUGAACAUGAACAAUGGCCUUGCCCAGCCUCUAGCGUGUAAGAAAUAAUCAGAUACAUAUCCAGCUCCAAAUCGGCCAAGAAAGUUCCAAAUGCUCCACAAGGAAAUUAAGGUAUUAGUUUCGAAACUUGCAUAACCAAGAGAUCCUCCUACUUGGCCCAUAUUAUUCACUGUGGCAAGUCCUGAGCCCAUACCACAAGCCAUGGCAAGAAACAAAAUCCAGAAAUCCACCGUACAGGCAGCUUGCAAGAGAUUCACGUCUUCGUCAUUUUGCAAACAAUUGUCACCUUCAGGGUCACCAGGCAAACUUCGAUACCCUGUAGCACCAUGUCUUGCAAGCAACUUAGACUCAUCCACUAAAUGAUUCCUCUCAGAAAUAAUAUCAGAAUUCUUUUCCCUAGCUUUGAUUGCAACGAAAAGAGGCAAUACAAGCAACAGUAUGAGCAGGAUAAAUGCAACCACACGCACUGAAAAUUGGAAACUGAAGACAUGUUCCAAUAUUAUAAUGAUCAUAAGAUAUGCAGCCAGAACCAAUGAAAUCACUGAGAAACUAUCAAGGUACUUCUUCUCCUCUGCUUCACUCACACUGUGAAUUCUGACCAACCACAUUAGUAUCAUCGGAUUGAUGCUGGGCAAAAGUGCCAGCAGCAGGAGAUACGAGGUGGGUUUGUUGUUGAAUAUUGUUUGAUAUACUUGUAUUAAUAUUGCUCCACUUAAACCAAGAAAUCCCUAGCAAGUAAAAGAAAAACUUUUCACAAGAAUCAAUCAAAUUCUCAUUAAUCCAUGCAAUUGAUUUCGAAUUGGGUUGCUAACCAUUUUCUUUUAUAUGGAUGAUGAAUAAAAAUUGGGGGAAAAGCAAGAAAGAGAAACCUUCAUGAUGCCAACGGCAGUGCCGCUAUAGUUGAGGAAAUUCCGCACAGAAGUGACGACAUUAGCGGUAUUAAAGAAACUUUGGCCGUGCGCCGCCAGAAACAUGAACAAACACAUCGCCGCAACCGGCGGUGUCUGAAUUAAUCCGAUAACAGCAGCCCACAUAAAAAAAUACCCAGCGAAGCACUGUAUGGCGCCAACCAGGAGGACAACCCAUGGCCCACUAGAAAUUGUCGAAGUGGGUUCGUGGUGGUGAUGGGUGGUGGCUUUGGUGUAGAGAACACCGGAAAGAAAGCCGCAGUUGGCGCCGAUGUCUUUGAAAACAGAGACAGUGUCGAGCGUUGAUUGAUCAUAGCCUUGGGUAGACUUAAGAGUCGGGGAGUAGAUGGAGAAGGUGUAAAGAGAGCCGCUGGUGCACUGGAUCCAUAUGCUGGCAA
rnacentral:misc_RNA from 1 species